rnacentral:lncRNA from 1 species
UCGCUUGUAUUUUGUGCAUACUCACACCGUAUGCAAAAAUCUGAGUCAAUCUAUCCUCUCUAUAAGUCCUCCACAUUGAUUGGGCGCCGAGUUGCUAUUGGAAAAUUAGGCAAGAUCAUAAUUAAUUCUAGUAAACAAAUCAAAGCUAGAACCGAAACUAGCAUGCAACAAUCUAGUAAAAUAGAUGAACAACAAAAUAUGCAUAUCAUCAUCUCACACAAAGUAGCAACUACCGAGAGAGACAUUAACUGAUCACGAAUAACGUACUAUUCGUUAGCUGCUAUAGGAGCGACGGUGUUGAUGACGAUGUUGGCGACGAUCUGUUGUUGACGGCGAUGGAGACGGCGAUGAGUAGCACCACCGACUUGGAUGUUAGACGACCCGUGAUGACGAAUUUGGGCAGUCGUGCAGAGCCUCUCCCGGUGCAGGAUCACAAAGACGAUAGGUUUCAUAGACCUGCUCUCCCGCACACGAUGCACGCCAGCGUUCUGCGUUCGAGAUGAGGUAGACUAUAGUGGCGGCGCAAGUUGCGAGAUGAGGCAAAAC